rnacentral:rRNA from 1 species
AUGAACGCUGGCGGCGUGCCUAAUACAUGCAAGUCGAGCGAACGGACGAGAAGCUUGCUUCUCUGAUGUUAGCGGCGGACGGGUGAGUAACACGUGGAUAACCUACCUAUAAGACUGGGAUAACUUCUGGAAACCGGAGCUAAUACCGGAUAAUAUUUUGAACCGCAUGGUUCACAAGUGAAAGACGGGCUUGCUGUCACUUAUAGAUGGAUCCGCGCUGCAUUAGCUAGUUGGUAAGGUAACGGCUUACCAAGGCAACGAUGCAUAGCCGACCUGAGAGGGUGAUCGGCCACACUGGAACUGAGACACGGUCCAGACUCCUACGGGAGGCAGCAGUAGGGAAUCUUCCGCAAUGGGCGAAAGCCUGACGGAGCAACGCCGCGUGAGUGAUGAAGGUCUUCGGAUCGUAAAACUCUGUUAUUAGGGAAGAACAUAUGUGUAAGUACCUGUGAACAUAUUGACGGUACCUAAUCAGAAAGCCACGGCUAACUACGUG